rnacentral:tRNA from 1 species
GCCCUGUGGUGUACAGCACAUGAAAUUGCAAAUUUUAAAGGGUAGAAUGACUCUGCCGGGGCUU